GCUUGAUAACAUAGUGGCGGACGGGUGGAGUAACACGUGACGCAACCUAGCCUCUGAGAGAGGGAUAGCUUACUGGAAACGGAUGGUAAUACCUCAUAACAUAACGAAACCGCAUGAUUUUGUUAUCAAAGAUUUAUCACUCAGAGAUGGGCUCGCGUCUGAUUAGGUAGUUGGUGAGGUAACGGCUCACCAAGCCGACGAUCAGUAGCCGGACUGAGAGGUUGAACGGCCACAUUGGGACUGAGACACGGCCCAGACUCCUACGGGAGGCAGCAGUGAGGGAUAUUGCACAAUGGAGGAAACUCUGAAUGCAGCGAUGCCGCGUGGAGGAAGAAGGUUUUCGGAUUGUAAACUCCUGUUUCGAGGGACGAUAAUGACGGUACCUCGGGAGGAAGCUCCGGCUAACUACGUGCCAGCCGCAGC
rnacentral:rRNA from 1 species